AAUAAUGCAUACCACCCUGCAUCCCACUGCUGGCUUGCCUCUGAAGUUAAGCAGGGUUGGUCCUGGUCGGUCCCUGGAUGGGAGACCAGAUGCUGCUGGAAGUGGUGUUG
rnacentral:rRNA from 1 species